CCUACGGGAGGCAGCAGUCGAGAAUCAUUCACAAUGGGGGAAACCCUGAUGGUGCGACGCCGCGUGGGGGAAUGAAGGUCUUCGGAUUGUAAACCCCUGUCAUGUGGGAGCAAAUUAAAAAGAUAGUACCACAAGAGGAAGAGACGGCUAACUCUGUGCCAGCAGCCGCGGUAAUACAGAGGUCUCAAGCGUUGUUCGGAAUCACUGGGCGUAAAGCGUGCGUAGGCUGUUUCGUAAGUCGUGUGUGAAAGGCGCGGGCUCAACCCGCGGACGGCACAUGAUACUGCGAGACUAGAGUAAGGGAGGGGGAACCGGAAGUCGCGGUGUAGCAGUGAAAUGCGUAGAUAUCGGGAGGAACACUCGUGGCGAAGGCGGGUUCCUGGACAUUAACUGACGCUGAGGCACGAAGGCCAGGGGAGCGAAAGGGAUUAGAUACCCCUGUAGUC
rnacentral:rRNA from 1 species